UACGUAGGUGGCAAGCGUUACUCGGAAUCACUAGGCGUAAAGCGCUGGUAGGAGGUUUGGUAAGUCUGUUGUGAAAGCUCCCGGCUUAACUGGGAGAGGCCAACGGAAACUGCCAAGCUAGAGUGUGGUAGAGGAAGAUGGAAUUCCCGGUGUAGCGGUGAAAUGCGUAGAUAUCGGGAGGAAUACCUAUGGCGAAAGCAGUCUUCUGGACCAUCACUGACUCUGAUCUGCGAAGGCUAGGGGAGCAAACAGG
rnacentral:rRNA from 1 species